rnacentral:rRNA from 1 species
AUGCUGGAGGUAUCAGAAGUGCGAAUGCUGACAUAAGUAACGAUAAAGCGGGUGAAAAGCCCGCUCGCCGGAAGACCAAGGGUUCCUGUCCAACGUUAAUCGGGGCAGGGUGAGUCGACCCCUAAGGCGAGGCCGAAAGGCGUAGUCGAUGGGAAACAGGUUAAUAUUCCUGUACUUGGUGUUACUGCGAAGGGGGGACGGAGAAGGCUAUGUUGGCCGGGCGACGGUUGUCCCGGUUUAAGCGUGUAGGCUGGUUUUCCAGGCAAAUCCGGAAAAUCAAGGCUGAGGCGUGAUGACGAGGCACUACGGUGCUGAAGCAACAAAUGCCCUGCUUCCAGGAAAAGCCUCUAAGCAUCAGGUAACAUCAAAUCGUACCCCAAACCGACACAGGUGGUCAGGUAGAGAAUACCAAGGCGCUUGAGAGAACUCGGGUGAAGGAACUAGGCAAAAUGGUGCCGUAACUUCGGGAGAAGGCACGCUGAUAUGUAGGUGAAGUCCCUUGCGGAUGGAGCUGAAAUCAGUCGAAGAUACCAGCUGGCUGCAACUGUUUAUUAAAAACACAGCACUGUGCAAACACGAAAGUGGACGUAUACGGUGUGACGCCUGCCCGGUGCCGGAAGGUUAAUUGAUGGGGUCAGCGCAAGCGAAGCUCUUGAUCGAAGCCCCGGUAAACGGCGGCCGUAACUAUAACGGUCCUAAGGUAGCGAAAUUCCUUGUCGGGUAAGUUCCGACCUGCACGAAUGGCGUAAUGAUGGCCAGGCUGUCUCCACCCGAGACUCAGUGAAAUUGAACUCGCUGUGAAGAUGCAGUGUACCCGCGGCAAGACGGAAAGACCCCGUGAACCUUUACUAUAGCUUGACACUGAACAUUGAGCCUUGAUGUGUAGGAUAGGUGGGAGGCUUUGAAGUGUGGACGCCAGUCUGCAUGGAGCCGACCUUGAAAUACCACCCUUUAAUGUUUGAUGUUCUAACGUUGACCCGUAAUCCGGGUUGCGGACAGUGUCUGGUGGGUAGUUUGACUGGGGCGGUCUCCUCCUAAAGAGUAACGGAGGAGCACGAAGGUUGGCUAAUCCUGGUCGGACAUCAGGAGGUUAGUGCAAUGGCAUAAGCCAGCUUGACUGCGAGCGUGACGGCGCGAGCAGGUGCGAAAGCAGGUCAUAGUGAUCCGGUGGUUCUGAAUGGAAGGGCCAUCGCUCAACGGAUAAAAGGUACUCCGGGGAUAACAGGCUGAUACCGCCCAAGAGUUCAUAUCGACGGCGGUGUUUGGCACCUCGAUGUCGGCUCAUCACAUCCUGGGGCUGAAGUAGGUCCCAAGGGUAUGGCUGUUCGCCAUUUAAAGUGGUACGCGAGCUGGGUUUAGAACGUCGUGAGACAGUUCGGUCCCUAUCUGCCGUGGGCGCUGGAGAACUGAGGGGGGCUGCUCCUAGUACGAGAGGACCGGAGUGGACGCAUCACUGGUGUUCGGGUUGUCAUGCCAAUGGCACUGCCCGGUAGCUAAAUGCGGAAGAGAUAAGUGCUGAAAGCAUCUAAGCACGAAACUUGCCCCGAGAUGAGUUCUCCCUGACUCCUUGAGAGUCCUGAAGGAACGUUGAAGACGACGACGUUGAUAGGCCGGGUGUGUAAGCGCAGCGAUGCGUUGAGCUAACCGGUACUAAUGAACCGUGAGGCUUAACC